UUAUCCUAAUCUUCAACAGUUAGUGAUAGAAGAGACUUCUUGGUGUAAAUCCUUGUCCACCUAUAUCCCACACCAUUCUUACAAAAGUGUCAGUUCUCAUUUACUUAAGAAAUGUCUGGAAGUGUCCAGUUUGGACACUUGCAAGAGAAAGUGUACAUGAACAUACAGGAUACUCCUCCCUGUCAAAGUUGGUAAUUGGAGACUUCUUGGUGUAAAUCCUUGUACACCUGUGUCUGAUACCAAUUCUUACGGUCAUGAAGUGUUAAGUUUUAUUUAGUUGAACUUGUCUGGAAGAACAGUUAUACUAUGCAUUUUCAUUAUCAAUUCUGUAAUAAUAUUAUAAUAUCUUCAUUAUGUGCUCUUCUUGUUCUUUGCUUCUGCAUGUCACAAAAACACAAAAUAAAUGAAUAGAAAAUCCACAAAUUUCUUGAGACUUUGUGUUGAAUGUGACACUUCCUUCCAAGAAAGGGGAAAUUUUUUUUAUCACAAUGUAGUCACUUACAGGAGCAGAUCAUAAAUUCAAAACUUGAGCUUGUUGGGCUGUGGGGUGGGGGGGUUCCCACCACUUACUUGUCCUCCUGUUGGGAGCCUCUUUUUAGUCAUUGAGGCUUUGGCAUGUGGGGGAAGAGAGACUUCACAAAAGGCUUGCUAUAUGGAAGAGGCAGUAGCUUUUAGUGGACAGUAGCCUCACAUUGAUCAAGAGCACUUUAUUUGGUUGCCAAUAUAUUUAUAUCAUUGUUUGUCAUCCUAAGAAAGAUGAGAUUGAGAUUAGAGCAGAUUCAAAGGGACUUCCUUUGGGAAGGUGGAGUUCUUGAGACUUGGGAUUAGAGAUAUAUUCUUAAAUAAGGCUUUAUUUGGUAAGUGGAAUUGGGGGUUUGCUAUAGAAAGUGUGAUGGGGGAAAGCCUUUUAAAGUUUAUUCAAGGAAGAAAGGGAAGACCUAAGUAAACUUUAAGUAGGAUUAAUAUAAUUAGAAUUUGAGUCAUGAUAGGUUAUUAGAGUCCUAGUAGAAUAGGUUAUUAGAGUCCUAGUAGACUUUGGAUUUCUUAGAGAAGCCUAUAAAUAGGCUAAUCAAUGUAAAUCAAAGGAA